rnacentral:rRNA from 1 species
UCAGAUUGAACGCUGGCGGCAGGCCUAACACAUGCAAGUCGAGCGGUAGCACAGAGAGCUUGCUCUCGGGUGACGAGUGGCGGACGGGUGAGUAAUGUCUGGGAAACUGCCUGAUGGAGGGGGAUAACUACUGGAAACGGUAGCUAAUACCGCAUAACGUCGCAAGACCAAAGAGGGGGACCUUCGGGCCUCUUGCCAUCAGAUGUGCCCAGAUGGGAUUAGCUAGUAGGUGGGGUAACGGCUCACCUAGGCGACGAUCCCUAGCUGGUCUGAGAGGAUGACCAGCCACACUGGAACUGAGACACGGUCCAGACUCCUACGGGAGGCAGCAGUGGGGAAUAUUGCACAAUGGGCGCAAGCCUGAUGCAGCCAUGCCGCGUGUAUGAAGAAGGCCUUCGGGUUGUAAAGUACUUUCAGCGGGGAGGAAGGUGUUGUGGUUAAUAACCGCAGCAAUUGACGUUACCCGCAGAAGAAGCACCGGCUAACUCCGUGCCAGCAGCCGCGGUAAUACGGAGGGUGCAAGCGUUAAUCGGAAUUACUGGGCGUAAAGCGCACGCAGGCGGUCUGUCAAGUCGGAUGUGAAAUCCCCGGGCUCAACCUGGGAACUGCAUUCGAAACUGGCAGGCUAGAGUCUUGUAGAGGGGGGUAGAAUUCCAGGUGUAGCGGUGAAAUGCGUAGAGAUCUGGAGGAAUACCGGUGGCGAAGGCGGCCCCCUGGACAAAGACUGACGCUCAGGUGCGAAAGCGUGGGGGAGCAAACAGGAUUAGAUACCCUGGUAGUCCACGCCGUAAACGAUGUCGACUUGGAGGUUGUGCCCUUGAGGCGUGGCUUCCGGAGCUAACGCGUUAAGUCGACCGCCUGGGGAGUACGGCCGCAAGGUUAAAACUCAAAUGAAUUGACGGGGGCCCGCACAAGCGGUGGAGCAUGUGGUUUAAUUCGAUGCAACGCGAAGAACCUUACCUACUCUUGACAUCCAGAGAACUUUCCAGAGAUGGAUUGGUGCCUUCGGGAACUCUGAGACAGGUGCUGCAUGGCUGUCGUCAGCUCGUGUUGUGAAAUGUUGGGUUAAGUCCCGCAACGAGCGCAACCCUUAUCCUUUGUUGCCAGCGAUUCGGUCGGGAACUCAAAGGAGACUGCCAGUGAUAAACUGGAGGAAGGUGGGGAUGACGUCAAGUCAUCAUGGCCCUUACGAGUAGGGCUACACACGUGCUACAAUGGCAUAUACAAAGAGAAGCGACCUCGCGAGAGCAAGCGGACCUCAUAAAGUAUGUCGUAGUCCGGAUUGGAGUCUGCAACUCGACUCCAUGAAGUCGGAAUCGCUAGUAAUCGUAGAUCAGAAUGCUACGGUGAAUACGUUCCCGGGCCUUGUACACACCGCCCGUCACACCAUGGGAGUGGGUUGCAAAAGAAGUAGGUAGCUUAACCUUCGGGAGGGCGCUUACCACUUUGUGAUUCAUGACUGGGGUG